AGAAUGCACAGAGGCUUGGGUACCACCCCUCUGGAUGCAACAGGUCACAUCAGGUUCCCUGGUGAUGUGUGGACACUUGGACUCCAUGCCAAACACAGAUGGACAAACUGUUCUCUUCUGGUCACAAGCAACGUGCAUGGAGUGAGAUCUUGCUGGGUGAGGUCUAUCAGGAAAACCCUGCAGAGCUCGGGUGGAUGGUCCACCAGUUCACCGCCCUGCAUCGUCACAGCAAAUUUUACCAAUGACGUGUACUGUCAGGAACACUUGGAAACAGGAGCCUUCUGCGAAUUUCAAUCUUUUGGAUAACCCUGCCCUCGUCAAAUUAUGAAACAGGAACCACCAGAUUCUCUCGGGGGCUCAUUAGAAGACCUCCUGGCGACGAGACAUUGCAAGCUCGCUUGACAGUCUGACUGUUGACUUCCCAGCGUACACAUGCCAUUGGAUGACCCAGAGCAGUGGCUGCAUCUUUAUCACGAUGUGCGGUGCAGAUGGGCUGUGGCUGUGGAUGUGGGCGUGGCAGACGUGGAUGGGGACCCGGAAGUAGACUUGGAUGUGGAAAGGAUUAUGCAGAUUGAAACAUCAAGACUCAAAGAGGCUAAGAUCCUGACCUUGCAGCCAAAAGAGGUGAAACUGAGAGCGUACUGGUGGCCAUAAACCAGUGUUCGGAUGCUAGAUGGGUUAGCAACCGAGAAGAAAGCAGAGAACCCCAAGCCAGGGUAACUGAUAACCUGGGGGAGAGGACCAGAGCAUCCCAAGUCAGCUGGCAAGGAGAAGCCCCAGGAGCAUCCUUGAGACCUGGGCUUUGGCUCUAAGUGGGCGUUUGUGUUCCCCCUGGCAUGCUGAUGGGGGUUGGGGGGAAUUGGUCUUGCUUACGUGGCCAAAGAUAGAGAAAACAGCAGGUAAUCGUUGUCACCUUUUUAAAGCUGAGGGAACAAACUCAGAAGAUAUAAAUAAGCAGUUUGCCCACAUUCAAACAGAAUCCUGAGUCCAAAGCCAAGAUCUUUUGUGCCCUCAUUACCAAAAUUGGAAUUAUCGUCCAUGUUCCUCUUACCUCAUGGCACUGCAUUAAAGAUCCACACAAGG